CAGGUCCUACGGGAGGCAGCAGUGGGGAAUAUUGCACAAUGGGGGAAACCCUGAUGCAGCGACGCCGCGUGAGUGAGGAAGUAUUUCGGUAUGUAAAGCUCUAUCAGCAGGGAAGAAAAUGACGGUACCUGACUAAGAAGCCCCGGCUAACUACGUGCCAGCAGCCGCGGUAAUACGUAGGGGGCAAGCGUUAUCCGGAUUUACUGGGUGUAAAGGGAGCGUAGACGAAAUUGAAAGUCUGAUGUGAAAAUCAGGGGCCCA
rnacentral:rRNA from 1 species